rnacentral:tRNA from 1 species
UGGCUCAAUUGGUAGAGCAUGGUGUGUGCAACGCCAGGGUUGUGGGUUCGAUUCCCAU